rnacentral:misc_RNA from 1 species
AUGGUUUCUUUUCUUUGCUCUGAACUUUCUUCUGUUUAACGUUCUUCUUCUUAAAUUGCGGAAGAAAUCUGUCCCAGUUCUCACUAGCCAGAGCUGGAUUUUUUGCAAGCUCUCUCUUCAGCAUGAGGAUCUUGAUAUGAUGUAGCGGAUGCAUCUUGUUCAAUAUGCAGUCCUCUAUAACCCUCCUCGCUUGCUUUAGACCUUUAAAGGAACCCAUAGCAGCAACUGUGUUUCCCUGGACAAGGAUAUAGCAGCCGGUCAAAAUUUCCAGGGCCUUUAAAGUUGACGAAUUGGGACCCACAAGAUAUUGUCUGCGUUUAACAAAGCGCUCCUUGUUGCGAACCAUGUUGCCGAUCUUGAUUAUGUCACAUUGCAUCUCAUCAUUCAGGAUUUUGACAGCCUGAGGUGCAGGAACACUUCUUGACAAAAGUUUUAUCAAAUCCCUAGCUUUUACAAUAAUAUAGGGAUCCCUUGUCUUCAUAGUAGUAGAAACUGUCAUAGAUCCUUCAACCAAGUUAAGUUCGCAGGCAAUUCCAUGCUCUUUCAACGCACCUUUUACAGUAGGCCAACACUCUUGCAAAUAUUUCUCUCUGUACUGAGGGAAUAGAGUUGAAAACGAACUGACUUCAAGCAAUCCACUCUGGUUCCAGGAAGGAUCAAACUUCUCAAUCUUCCAAUGAUCAAUGCUUUCAUCAUCCCAUGGCUUUGGUUUGUCAUGUUUUCCCUUGUGCCUCGGCUUCGGAAUCAACUCUUCAUUAACUGUUAAAUUCUCCUCAUCUGCCAUUGCAGUCAGUCGAAACUGAACCGAAAUUCCACAAAUUAUCAAUGAAAACUUACAGAGAAACGCACAAACUGCAGAAAUAGCAGUUACAGAGGCCAAUGGCGGCUCAGGGUUAAAGGA